rnacentral:rRNA from 1 species
CCCUAUGGGGUGCAGCAGGCAGAAUGAUAAAGCGCUUUUGUAUCUUCAACAGGCGCUUACACUUUCUAAUGAGCUCGGAUACAACAAAGGUAUUGCGCGGAGCUUUCUCUGGCAGGGAAGGGUGUUUUACUACAAGGAUGAGUAUGCCUUGGCGGAAUCCUAUUUAUCGAAGGCCAGAGAAAUACUUGAAAAGACAGCCGAUGUGCGCGAUCUGGCGUUUUAUCACUUCGCAGCCGGAUCUUUAUAUGAUCUGACCGGCAAUUUCAUCAUGGCAGUACAGGAAUACCAGGAGGCUGCCCGCCUUUCUGCCUCCGGAGGGGACGAAAGUCUGCGGUCGGGCAGUCUUGCCAGUCUGGGUUCCGUAUAUAACCGGCUGAAGGAGCCUGACAAUGCGCUGGUUUAUCUCAGGGAGGAAUUGGCGGGAGGGC